CAAUGAAACUAGUACAAUCAAAUCUACGAUGAAUUUCAUUGUAGAUGGCUUUGGCUACAGUUGUUU
rnacentral:pre_miRNA from 1 species